rnacentral:rRNA from 1 species
GGGACCCUACCGUGCUUAGGCUCUCUAACUGCGACCCCAGUUUAGGCGGGAUCACCCAUUGAGUUUAACAUUCAAACCGGGGGAAAAA